rnacentral:rRNA from 1 species
UACCAGACUCCUACGGGAGGCAGCAGUGGGGAAUAUUGGGCAAUGGGCGCAAGCCUGACCCAGCAACGCCGCGUGAAGGAAGAAGGCUUUCGGGUUGUAAACUUCUUUUCUGAGGGACGAAGAAAGUGACGGUACCUCAGGAAUAAGCCACGGCUAACUACGUGCCAGCAGCCGCGGUAAUACGUAGGUGGCAAGCGUUAUCCGGAUUUAUUGGGUGUAAAGGGCGUGUAGGCGGGAAAGCAAGUCAGAUGUGAAAACUCAGGGCUCAACCCUGAGCCUGCAUUUGAAACUGUUUUUCUUGAGUGCUGGAGAGGCAAUCGGAAUUCCGUGUGUAGCGGUGAAAUGCGUAGAUAUAUGGAAGAACACCAGUGGCGAAAGCGGCUCUCUGGUCUGUAACUGACGCUGAGGUUCGAAAGCGUGGGUAGCAAACAGGAUUAGAUACCCGGGUAUC